rnacentral:rRNA from 1 species
AGUCAACCUGCCCUGGAGACAUGAAUAACCCCGGGAAACUGGGAUUAAUACAUGAUAGGUCACCUCAUCUGGAAGGAGAGAUGGCUUAAAGGGGUGUGCGAGCUUCUUUCGUAUACUUGCUCCAGGAUGGGACUGCGACUGAUCAGGCUGUUGGCGGGGUAAUGGCCCACCAAACCAGUAACCAGUACGGGCCUUGAGAGAGGGGGCCCGGAGAUGGACACUGAGAGAAGGGUCCAGGUCCUACGGGGCGCAGCAGGCGCGAAACCUUCGCAAUGCGCGAAAGCGUGACGAGGUUAAUCCGAGUGGUUCCCGCUGAGGGAAUCUUUUGUCGGCUGUAAAAAGGCCGGCGAAUAAGGGGAGGGCAAGUCUGGUGUCAGCCGCCGCGGUAAUACCAGCUCCUCGAGUGGUCGGGGCGAUUAUUGGGCCUAAAGCAUCCGUAGCCGGUUCCGUAGGUCCUCUGUUAAAUCCAACGGCUUAACCGUUGGCCCGCAGAGGAUACCGCGGGACUAGGAGGCGGGAGAGGCAGGCGGUACUCUACGUGUAGGGGUAAAAUCCUUUGAUCCGUAGAAGACCACCAGUGGCGAAGGCGGCCUGCCAGAACGCGCUCGACGGUGAGGGAUGAAAGCUGGGGGAGCGAACCGGAUUAGAUACCCGGGUAGUCCCAGCCGUAAACGAUGCGAGCUAGAUGAUUCGGUCGC